AUUGAACGCUGGCGGUAUGCUUAACACAUGCAAGUCGAACGGCAGCACGGGGCAACCUGGUGGCGAGUGGCGAACGGGUGAGUAAUACAUCGGAACGUGCCCAAUCGUGGGGGGAUAACGUAGCGAAAGUUACGCUAAUACCGCAUACGAUCUACGGAUGAAAGCGGGGGAUCGCAAGACCUCGCGCGAAUGGAGCGGCCGAUGUCAGAUUAGGUAGUUGGUGGGGUAAAGGCUCACCAAGCCAACGAUCUGUAGCUGGUCUGAGAGGACGACCAGCCACACUGGAACUGAGACACGGUCCAGACUCCUACGGGAGGCAGCAGUGGGGAAUUUUGGGACAAUGGGCGCAAGCCUGAUCCAGCCAUUCCGCGUGCAGGAUGAAGGCC
rnacentral:rRNA from 1 species